rnacentral:rRNA from 1 species
CCACCCCUUUCCAUACCGAACAGGGAAGUUAAGCCCGUCUGCGCCGAUGGUACUGCCGUAACUGGUGGGAGAGUAGGCCGCCGCCUUCU